rnacentral:lncRNA from 1 species
AGAAGCCAGCUAGCAGAGUGCUGGUAGCAUUCUGUAAUUUUGCAAAUGAGGCAAACUUGAAAUUAAGAAAUGUAACCUCAAUGGCUGGAAGAGGGCUCGCCUAUCACAAUAGUACUCACCAGGGAAGACGGACUCAAAUAUUACAGGAUGACGCAGACUGUUCAUCAAAUGGAAUUUAAAAAUGGACCUUUCUGUUUAUACAGAUUUGCUAUAUUUAUUUCUGUAUAUAGCUGAUUUGCUAUAUAUUGUCACCAAAAAUGACAGAAAUUAUUCACAUUUCUGUCAUUUUUGUGAUGUCAGGAAGACUGCUGGGAUGAGAAGGAGGGGAAGGACUUGAAGCCAGGAUAAAUCCCACAGAUCAUCUCAUCACAGCCUAUUAGGCUCUGGCUUUAGCUUUACUCAUGAACUUUCUGUCCCAGAAAUUCUUGUAGAGCUUACAGGACAAAGAGGAGGUUGUGCUAAAGGAAAAGUAGGAUCAAUGCAUAUGUAUGCCAAGAACUUCUACAGGAGCCAUGGCAUUGUCAGAGCUCAGGUCUCCUGGGAGCUGGUAUUGGCUUGGCCUGUGAGUAUAACGGAAAAGAUGAGGUCUGAAUGACUUUAUAUUUGAGGCCUACAAUAUAGCCGCUUUGUGGAAAUUACCUCCUAUUUUCAUCUGUGAGAAUAAAACUGCUAUGGAAUAAGAGCAUCUGUUGAGACAGCAGCACCUAGCACUGAUUACUAUAAGACAGGCAAUUUUGUACCUGGACUAAGGAUAGACAGAAUGAAUAUUCUAUGUGUCCAUGAGGCAACAAAGUUUGCCUGUUGUAUAUUUGGAAAGGGGACCAUACUGAUGAAGCUGCAGACUUACCAUUAUCAAGGCACAGUGUAAGUGAUCCUGGAGUCAGCUGUACACAAGAAGAAAUUCAAGAAGCAAGAGGACUGACUCUAUUAUGCUUCUCAAAGAUAAAAUGGUAAAUAGCAAUCUUGCCAAUGUUAAAGAACAACUGAUCCCAAACUACCUUUGGAAGAAUUAGGCCGUUACAUUUAUUGCAUUUUGAAGUUUAUGAUGUAAAUCAGUGGAUCCAGUUUAA